UAACGACAUUCAAACGAACAACA
rnacentral:siRNA from 1 species